CCUACGGGUGACAGCAGUGAGGAAUAUUGGUCAAUGGGCUUACGCCUGAACCAGCCAAGUCGCGUGAGGGAAGACUGCCCUAUGGGUUGUAAACCUCUUUUGUCAGGGAGCAACGCCGGCUACGUGUAGCCGGACUGAGAGUACCUGAAGAAAAAGCAUCGGCUAACUCCGUGCCAGCAGCCGCGGUAAUACGGAGGAUGCGAGCGUUAUCCGGAUUGAUUGGGUUGAAAGGGUGCGUAGGCGGAAUGCCAAGUCAGCGGUAAAAUCGCGGGGCUCAACCUCGCUCCGCCGUUGAAACUGGCGUUCUUGAGUGGGCGAGAAGUAUGCGGAAUGCGUGGUGUAGCGGUGAAAUGCAUAGAUAUCACGCAGAACUCCGAUUGCGAAGGCAGCAUACCGGCGCCCAACUGACGCUGAAGCACGAAAGCGUGGGUAUCGAACAGGAUUAGAUACCCGUGUAGUC
rnacentral:rRNA from 1 species